UACGAAGGGGGCUAGCGUUGCUCGGAAUCACUGGGCGUAAAGCGCACGUAGGCGGAUUGUUAAGUCAGGGGUGAAAUCCUGGAGCUCAACUCCAGAACUGCCUUUGAUACUGGCGAUCUCGAGUCCGGGAGAGGUGAAUGGAACUGCGAGUGUAGAGGUGAAAUUCGUAGAUAUUCGCAAGAACACCAGUGGCGAAGGCGGCUCACUGGCCCGGUACUGACGCUGAGGUGCGAAAGCGUGGGGAGCAAACAGG
rnacentral:rRNA from 1 species